rnacentral:rRNA from 1 species
AAGGAGCUUGCUCCUUUGACGUUAGCGGCGGACGGGUGAGUAGCACGUGGGUAACCUACCUAUAAGACUGGAAUAACUCCGGGAAACCGGGGCUAAUGCCGGAUAAUAUUUAGAACCGCAUGGUUCUAAAGUGAAAGAUGGUUUUGCUAUCACUUAUAGAUGGACCCGCGCCGUAUUAGCUAGUUGGUGGGGUAAUGGCUUACCAAGGCAACGAUACGUAGCCGACCUGAGAGGGUGAUCGGCCACACUGGAACUGAGACACGGUCCAGACUCCUACGGGAGGCAGCAGUAGGGAAUCUUCCGCAAUGGGCGAAAGCCUGACGGAGCAACGCCGCGUGAGUGAUGAAGGUCUUCGGAUCGUAAAACUCUGUUAUUAGGGAAGAACAAAUGUGUAAGUAACUGUGCACGUCUUGACGGUACCUAAUCAGAAAGCCACGGCUAACUACGUGCCAGCAGCCGCGGUAAUACGUAGGUGGCAAGCGUUAUCCGGAAUUAUUGGGCGUAAAGCGCG